UAAACAAAAAUAUUUGAAUUUAAAAAUUGUUUAGUGGCUGACAUAACACAGUUAAUAGGAUUGAUGACGUGAUUUUAUGAUAACAUUUGAAUAUAUCAGGAAGCUAGGCAGUUAAGAUAUAUAUAUUUCUUAAAACGAACUCCGAACAACAAAUUGCAUGAAUAUAUGUUUGAAAAACUGACUCAUAAACCCCACUGCUCCUCCUCCCCAACUCCCCC
rnacentral:lncRNA from 1 species